rnacentral:rRNA from 1 species
UACGUAGGUGGCAAGCGUUGUCCGGAUUUACUGGGCGUAAAGGGCGUGCAGGCGGUUUGUUUAGUCUAGGGUGAAAGCUCCCGGCUUAACUGGGAGAGGUCCUUGGAUACUGGCAAUCUUGAGGGAGGCAGAGGAAAGUGGAAUUCCCGGUGUAGUGGUGAUAUGCGUAGAUAUCGGGAGGAACACCAGUGGCGAAGGCGGCUUUCUGGGCCUUACCUGACGCUGAGACGCGAAAGCGUGGGGAGCGAACCGG